AUUUCCUCGAGGUUGUUAUUGAGCAAGUUUAAAGCAGUUUUACUACCAAUGCCAUUGAGUUCGAUGAACUUCGAAAACCAUUCCUUUUCCUCUAAGGUAUUGAAGGCAAAGCCCUCUUCCAAGAUCUGGUUCGUAACCAUUCUUUUAAUGAUCUGACAGAAGACCUGGCGCGGUUUUUCCAAGUUCUUUUCGAAGCUAUGGUUUUCUUUCACAUUAAACCAAUAGGAAAUACAAUUGGCUUCAACAAUAAUUUUUCGCUUACCAACAAAGGUAAUUUUUCCAAAAAUUGAAGCAAUCAUAGUCCUUAGUUUUUAAUUACCUUUCUAAUUUGCUGUUUGGCAUCAUAGUAAGACUUGGGUACUCUAAACUUAAUAUUAGUGGUACGGUAAGUCUCCAUGGCAUCACCAAUGUGGAAAAUUAAAUCCACUAGUUUUUCGUUGCCAAAGUUAUUUUUGACAGUGCAUUCUAUUAGUUGUUCAGCUUCAUUGAAACUAAACUCCCAGGGCGCUUCAUUACCAUGGUUGAGUUCAUGGUCUAGCUGUUCCUGUUCGUUUUUAAGACAGUAACUAGCUAAAUUAAUAAUGCCAAGGGCAAAUUUAAUCGAAUUGCGUAAGCGUUCAUCGAUUUCAUUGUUAUUUACUACACAAUCAUUGAGAAUUUGAGCACUCUCAUUCAACAAAUAAUUACUUUUCUUUAAUGAAAAGAGGGUUUCUUUAAAAGUA
rnacentral:sRNA from 1 species